CUCUAAGGAACACCAGCUGAAGAUGUGCUGCAGCCAUCAGCUGUAUCCCAUGGGCUCCUGAUUGCCCCAGGUGGGUGGGGAAGGGCGUUAUAACAGAGCUGGCUGCUUGUUGGAGGCUUUCUCUGAAGGUUGCAGCUAACAGUGCCAGGCCCGGAGGAAGGCUGGUGACACGUGGUGCUCCUCAAGGCAAAGCAAACUUCAAGAGCCACAAGCUGAGAAUGGAGGUGGCUCCUUGCUCUUUUGGAGGAUCAGAACCUCACAGCAAUUACUGGCCAGCAGUUCAGUAACUGAAGAGUGCAACAAACACUGAAGCUCAGACCAGAAUCAGAGAGUCACAGCAUGGUUGGGUUGGAAGGGGCGUUAAAGCCCACCUGGUUCCAACCCAUGCCGUGGGCAGGGCUGCCACCCACCAGCUCAGGCUGCCCAGGGCCCUGUCCAUGGCCUUGGGCACCUCCAGGCAUGGCACAACCUCAGGAGAGGUAAUUAUUUUGGAGCACAGCUGUUGAACCCGUCUUGUUGAAAAGAGGGUGAUUGGCACAGACCUCAACGCGUCUCCCUUACCGUAAAGGCAUGGGACGCUCCUUGCACGCUUCAGGUGGGAUCCCUCCAACCCAUUGACCAUUCCUUCUUGAUGGCACCCAGAAGCUGUGCUACCUUGGGCAAACCACGCUGCUAUUAAAAGAACUGGGCUUCUACGAGCGUCUUAAGAGGAGCAAGAGAAUCAUUCUGAGCGUGCAGGGAAAAUUCAGCAGCUCUGACAACCGCACUGUGUUUGGUAUCAUCUAACUGCCUUGAUAGAGAUGUCAAACGUGAGAAGAUAGCAGAAGUCUGCCUGGCAAUUUAAUUGGCUUACACUUUUGUAUAUCAUAUUUUAAAAGUAAGGCCUUUAAAAUGUGAUUUGGACAAGAAACUUGUGCGGGGCUUUAUCCCAGGCAGUCUCACGGUCCUCUUAGCAACAAAAACAGAACAGCGCUUAAUACGAGCUGCAUGUACGGUUGGAUUUAUGGAGUAUUCAUUAUUUUAAUAGCACUUAUUGACUUAGGGUCAAAUAUCUUUUUCCAACAUUUUUUUUAUUUAAGGAAAGAGCCUGUAUGUCACAAUCUCAUGCCUCAUCUAAUUGGAUAAGUGUUUCCUUUGUCCUUGAAACCGAAAAGUAGAAUGCGUAUCCAGGAGCUACAGAAUGAAAAAGCAUCUGCCUUUGGUAUUUGGCAUGCCUCAAUUAAAAAACCCACUGCCUGUGCUAUAAUUUUUUGAAUUCUGACCAGCGCACUUCUGCUCAGAUUCAAACAGACAGUUCUGAAGGUCGAGUUGGGGGCAUUUAUAAAACAAAUCCUUUGGAACAAUACGUAGAACAUUAAUGUUUUACAUACAACAGAGAAGAGGCCUGGAAACAGCGGCGCUAAGUUCGCGGCCGUGCUGAAAUCAUGAGUCCGCUUUCGGCAUUCCCUCCUGUUCCCACGAAGCCCACGCUCAAUAUGCAUAAAACACUUCCAUCUUUAAAAAAAAUAAUUGAAAAGAUGCACCCUGAAGUUCACCGGAUCAAUCCCUCUGAAUUAUUUUAUUUAGGAGACACUUCAUUGUGUCAAAGAUGUAAUGGAGAGGUUACGAUGCCCAGCCUUCAGAAUGUCACUGCAUUAGAAUGGAGCGUCGUGGGGAAUGCUAAAAUCCCCCUAGCCGACUCCCAAGCAAAACUGACAGAUUUAUGAAAUAUGAAAAUUCUUAUGCAGAGUUCAGAGAAGACAUAGGCUGCAGAGAAAGGAGCACUGCAGCCAGAAUCCUUCUACGUGAGUCCUGCAAGCAUGGGGAUGAAGCUCAGCAGCCCCACUUCCCGGUCCUUUGCCCUUUCCAUCCGACCCUGGGAGCGUUCGCUGCAUCUCUGACAUGCACAUCGUUCUGUGAGAGCAGUAUUUCCCAGCACACUUGAUUAAAUACCUCCCCUUGUUAUUUACUGCCCAUUAAGCAACAUAUCUUCUGCAUGUACCUUUGGCAGACAGAUCUUUGCUACCAACUGCAGAGCUCAGCAUGUCUCAGGCCACAGCAUUUACUGCAAUGAUCUCGAUGUGGGGCUACAGCUGAGAGCUCCAGCGCUGCAGGUCAGAUACCUGCUUCAGAUUUGCCCUACUUUGCUGUGUUCUGCAUGUCUUGGUACGUGUGAUAACACAGAAGAUGUCCAGAGGCUUUUUUCAUCUCUCCUUGGGGAAUGUCUCCUCUUGGUGCUGCUGGAGCUGCGAUCCACCGCAGCACUUCUGGGCUGCAAAGUUUCAAGUGAAACGGAAGGGUGGGGGAAGGAAUGACAAGUUCUUUUCACUGAGAUUCUCUCCCCAAAUGGAUUUGGCAGAGCCCAGCUCUGCUGAUCUUACAGCAAGGUUUAUCAUUUGUGCAGGCUGCUGCCUGAAGGGGGAGAGGAUCUUUGAAGUUCUGACUGAUGGAAGGGUCUCCCCCCGCUCCCUCUCGCACAUAUUUUAAGGGUGGGGACUGAGAGAUGCUCAACUGCCCUGAGUCAGGAAAUUACACGACAAAUUAAACAAUUACGUGUUUUGGUGCCGAGCAGCUACUUAGAUGCUUAGUGCCACACAUGCAUUUAACAUGAGCUCCACAGGCAUUUAUGGGUACCCCAUUACCUGCAACUCAACAUCGCAUGGCUUUGCUGCAUGUCGAGAGCACCCUUGCUCCCCUGUCUACACCUUGAGGAGAUUUCUUUAUCAUUUAUUACAGAAGGCACUGCCUGGGCACUGUUGGAGUGACAAGGACUAUUUCCUUAAUUACUGUACAUUGAUAAUAGCAUUUACUCUGGCAGCUCCAGUACUAUUCAAUCAAGCAAGAUUCAAUACAAAAAAGCUGAUUUGCCAAAAAAGAGAUUAGCAUAAGUGCCUACAGUCACAUUCUAUUUUUGAAGGUAAAGCUACUGUGUCUGUGAGCUUGCUUGUGGGAACUUUGUAAGGAGAGAUUAAUCUAGUUUAUCUCCUUCAAAAGAUGUUUGGGGAAAUCACAGAGAGUCAGUGUUUAGAUUCCUGAUAAUAUUUUUUUUAUAAACACACACGAUAAAGGACUGCACAGAAAGUGCUAAUCAGAAGCAGGAAGGUGCAUUUUUUUUCCCUUACGUGAAUGCAGAUAUUUGUUGUGAAAAAUUCCGCGCUCUCUGGUUUGCUGUUGCUGUUCUUUGUCAUUUGAUCAAGUGGUGACUGUGGCUGCUGCACUUUAAAAUUAAAUGCUAUUAUUUAUGGUAGAACUUGUGCUAGUUAAAAAUGCAGAGCUCAGCACUAUGUGCGUUUGUAAGCAGAAGGUUAAGCAGGACGUUUUAAAUGGUAAAGCAAAGGGCUUAAUCAAGGCUGAAGAGCAAAAUGCAGUGGGAUAACAGAUAUAGUAAACAGGCAUUAAUCACCGUACAGGCUUAAUCCAGGUAUUAGGCAGUCUUGGGGCUAAUACGAAGACUCACUUACAUAAGGGCUCAUUCUAUCAGCUCUUAAGUAUGUGAAUAACUUUAUUCUUGGGAGAAAUUUCCACGAAGUCAGAGGCACUUGCAAGACCGGGCCCAUAUUCUGCCUUUGUAAAAUGGUCAUUGCACAAUUAUUUUGCCUGAGGGGGAUUUCUGAAUUAGAAGACACUGCAGGGGUGUGGCUCAGGAAGGAAAAAAUUGGACAGCCAGAGCAUUAGGAGCCACUUUUCCAUGUUUUUUCCCUCGACGCUGUGCCUGUGACAUCAAAAUCCCAGCUAAGUACUGCUGGUCAAGGAUGGGCCAGAUAACAUCACAAAGCUGCUAUCAUCUUGUGGGAGACAGCUCAUUGUCUUAGUGACAAAUUUAGUGCCUACAAAUCCAGGCUUAGAACAUAGUCUUUCCCUAGCCAUAAUCCAGCACUUGCAGACCGGAUUUGUGUUAGUUACUGAUGAACUGAAAUUCCAGUUUUCAGAAGAUAACAGCACAUCCACAGGCAUGAACUUCACUCAACAAAGUUCUUUUAUUAGAUGCUUAGAAAGAUUGAAGUGCUUCCACCAUUAACUUGACAUCAAAAUUCCAAGCCUUCAUGUGAAUGUGCACGUCACAUAUACUGACAUCCCAGCCCCAAGGAGGGAUCUGGCAUCCUGGCCAAGCUUGCUGCCCCUGCAACGGAACGUGUAGACUCACAGCAAGCACAGAGUGACCUAAUGUGAGGGAAGGAGAAUGAGAUGGAAGUAGGGAAUGGGAUAGAUGGCCGCAGUUUAUCUAUUCAAGGAGCAGCAAGAUGAAAAAAAAAUCCACAAACCUUUAAUUGUGAAUGUAGAAGAGGGACAGUGAUGUAACUGUUCCCAGGGAACACUAUUCUUAUUUUGUAGAGGGAGGUGAGCCAAGAUACUUAAGCUCUAGAGAACCUUUAACACAGGAAGCUAUUUAUCAUAACAAGCUUGGUUGAUACUGCUCCCAUACUGAACCAAUUAGAUUAGCCUAUUUCGUCAUACUUCAUAACUUGGGAUGAUAGGUUUCCAAGCAUGGUACAGUGCAGUAAUUGAAUUUUGAUCAAACACACAUGGCCCAUAACCCAGUAUGUGAAACUUUCAGAACAGUUCACAGCUUUUAAAUAUCCAGUCAACAUGUUGCCAAAAGUACAGGAUGUACUUGAUGCAAGUGGGAGAGGAGGGGGGAGCACGAGUCCACGCCGUAACUUGGUACAGCUGUAAAACAAACAUUUUUUUGUUCCGAUUCUGUUCCUACUUUAGUGAAGGAGCUGGGAGGAAGACAGUGAAUGUCAAGUAAGUCGUUUUUCUCCCCAGCCCCCACGCCCCCCAGGCACACAUUUCCCUUUUAACAUUCUUAGAUUACCACAACCUUUUAAAUUCACUAUACUGUACUUUCAUACUGUAUUAGACACACCAGCAAUUAUGUUUGUUAGCAUGACACAUCCAUUGCUUACACUUAGUUAACAAAAUAACUUAAAAGUCGCAUGCAUCAUCCUCUUAAUAGGGUUAUAAUCAAUGGGACCAUGGAACGAAAGCCCUAAAAAUUACCCCCCACCUCUGCAUUCCCUGGGCUCCUGCCUCUGCCAACACAAUCCAUAUGUCGGGCAGUCUCUUCGGGCUCAAGGUGAAUGCUCUGUUCUUUGCAGUCAGUGAUCUCCUCUUACAUGUUUCUGCUAUGUUUUUCCCCACAGUAAAUCCAAGGAACUUUGAAGAAAAUUCUGCGUAAAGGAAACAGAAUACAUUAAUAAUUUAAUUCCUACUACUCUCCUGACUGGGGGCAAAACACCCACCACAGAACAGAAUUCUGCUGUGUCAUACGCAUCUGCAGAGCCCAAGAAGUGCGCUUUUCGGAGAGCACUGCAGUCUUCAAAGCAGCCAUUCAUAUGUAUAACGGAGAGUUAUCAGAGUAUGAGUAUGGUGGAGGUAUAAUGAACGACAAAGAAUCCGACAUCCUGGGAAAAGCAAGGCGCACACGCUUGAGGAAAGUUGUAUUUCCAAAACAGUUUGUUUUCUUGGAAGUUUCUGGAACUACACCUUCAUCACCACACUGCAAACAGCACUGAGAAUGCCCCUGUAUUUUUGUAUUUCCUCUCUUUUUCUUAGGUCUAGAGAGACCAAAACGCUUCUUGGCCAGCUGCAAUCCUCACAUCCUCUUUCCAGUUUUCUCUGUUGAGCAAGGAAAAAUACAGGAGUGCUGUCUUUGCUGUACGGUAAAGAAAAUCUUCAGGAGAUUUGGAGAUCUGAUAGGGGGUUUGGCUCCACCUUCAGGAAGCAGAAGGCAAAGAGACAACACGAUUUUAAAUUUCAGACAUACUUUCUGCCAAAGCUAAGCCUACAACACCCUUGUUGAGACAUUGAUUCCUCCCCAGUGUGUCUUUGCUUCAUACAGAUAAAAGAUUCCCUAACCUGAUGCCGUGCUAUUUCUAUGGUUUUGAUUCAGCUCUGAAGAGUCCAACUCCUUGUGGAGCUUCUUGAGAACUCGUGGAAGGAUGUCCCAAACCAGCCAAUAGAUCAACAAACAGCUGACGUGUGGACAAAGAAAAGCAGCUUUGAGGUGAGAAAAUUAAGCUGCCACACAUAGGAUGUUGCAGUCCUGUAUCAAUUAUCAGCAAUUUAUACCCUCAGUGCUUAGGAAAUUUUCUUGUAUACCUCACAGAAAUUAGAAAGGUUCCUUGAGUAACACAGAUGAAUUGAGAGGAAGCAAGCUGGAGGAGUCUUGAUCAAACUGCAGCCCAGCAAAAUACCUGAGUAAGACUUUUCUCCCCAGAUUCAGGCAGUGAGUGCAGAAGAUGCAAACUAAUCAAUCUGUCACAUUUCACCUCUUGGUUGAGGUUGAAAAAGUUUGAACCCGGAAAGUAGUAGCUGGUUAAAAAACGUUAUUUAAAUGAAUUAAAAUGCAUUCUUUUAAAGAAGCUGUAUAAUAUAUUCUAUAAUGACGAAAAUGACAAAGCAGUUAGAGCUGAGACUACCCUUAGUUUGAAAGACUUUACCUUAUGUAUCAGUGAAGUAAAAGGCAAUCACAAUUGGUGACAAUCCUGUAAGGCAAUGGAAGUGUAUGGCUGCUAGUGAAACCAGGCCCUUUCCCCAAUGGGGCGCUUAAGCCCCCAGCCCAACUUUAUUGCAUUCAACAUCAUUUUCUGGAGGAAACUGGUUUGAAAACUGCACAGCAAGCAGCAGGGAUGGCUCUCAGUGCAGAAAUGGACUAAACACCUAAUGAAUCUAAAAAUAAAAUAAUAAAAAAAAAAACAGUGCUGAGAAGAGAUGCGAGGAGACUGAAUAGACAUCGCUGUGUAAGCAAAUAUAACUGAAUAUACUCCUGAGGAACAAAGGAAACAAUUCUUGAUGGGGUGACAACAGAUGUUCUCCAAAAAAAUUCUAACGGAGCAUUUCAAACACAAAGACUUUCCUGUGGAGCUGAGAAGUUUUACUGGCAGGCACACUGGUAAUCCAUCUUUGGAAACAUAAUAAACCCUAACAUUUAAGGUGCUAUCACGUCCUGAAGGCAGAAGUGAUAUCUUCAUGUAGUAAGCAGUGGGUGGUGGUACAGAGGGAAACAGUUAAGAUAACAACAUGCUGUCACAAGAAGUUGUUGUAGCAUGGUCUUGAUUUAAAUGGCUGGAGGGAAAACUAGUCAGAGAACUUCUAAAAUAGUCUUUUGAAAACGUGCUUUCUACUCAGGCUAAAGAUGUGCAGGUUGGUCUCAUAGAACAAGCACAAUCCACAGCAAUUGAAUUGUGUGGGCACACCUAGGUGCAGCCACUUGUACUGUGUGAGUGAAGGCAGGGUGUCCAAAGCCAGAUGUUCCUAUGGGCUACUGCCCUUUCACAUCGUGGUCAAGUGUAUUGCAGAAAACUCUAAAAUGUAGAUUGGGGAGAAAAAAAAAGUCCCCUCUGCAACGACUGAACUGCCUUGUUACUUUGGGAAGAUCUUGAUUUAAUUAUUUUCUUCCUGGCUUCGUUCUGCAGCGUCUUAACUUUGCAUAGGCUUUUAAAUGUGAGGCACUUUAAAUUCUUUUUAAAAACUCUUUAUUUUUUUUUAAUGCCUAAGAUAGAGAAUAAUACUUCUGUCUUUUGGGGUUCUUGAAAGAUCUCCUGAGCAUCUGCAAGGCAAACAUAUCAUUUUUCUGGAAACAAGGCAGGAGGAUGACACAGUACAUUGUUUAAUUGCUUCUAUUGCUUUUCAACUAUUUUUGAGAAAAAGCUACAACCAAGAGAGAAGAUUAUUCCAGUGCAGUAGGAGCCAUCAGAACCACAGAAACGCUAAGAUGGACAAGUUGAUUGACAGGUGAAUGCUAAAGCAGACAGCAACACAGAAAAUCAUCAUAGGACAGACGUUUUGGUAAAUAUUACCGUAGCCAAUUUAUUAUUAACACAGUGGGACAGCUUUACAUCUUGCAUCACACUUUUCACAGUCCUUAUGGUAAACGUGCCGUAUCUGACAAUUACAAGAUGAAAACAAAGACCUCACUAACUCUGUACUGGCCCUGCAGUACUUAUCUACUUAGUUAACCCUCUCUAAACUUUAGCUGUUCAACCCAGCACGUAUGUUCAGAUAUAGAACAUAAUUUCAGUCAUGUCCUAUACAAGCUGCAAAGGUUACGUCAUCUGUGACAUUAAUUUCUACAGGACACUGCAGAAAAUGGAGAGGGUUAUGGAAGAAGUGGAAAGUUGUUAGUUUGGGAAGAGGAUGAUGUGGAAUGCCAUCAUCUAAAGAGAAGAGAAAAACCUUGUGCUAAUGCUCCAAAUGCCGUUCUAUCUGGUCACCCUUCUGUCUUGCUGCUAUGACAGAACAGUGCAGUCCUGAGAACUCAGGAGGCAUUGUGAGACAUCACAAAUGGAGGAUUGGGAUGAAAGAAUCCCAUAGUGGCUUUUUUUUAUUCUUUGGAUUGGUUCUGGAUGAAUCUUCUGUUUCUACAGAAAGACUGUAAAUUAACUUAGAAUAACUGAUCUUUCCUUCUGCUGACCACUUUAUUUCUGGGAGUAACAAUCUAUCUGACAGACCUCUUAACUAAUCAUAUUUUCAUCUGAUUCACACAAAAUGGUCCCGGCAUUCUUUUAAAAAUAGUGAAGCACAAGAUGGACUGCUGCAGUCACCAAGUCGAGCCCUCUGCUACUUGUACAUAUGGAGAUCCAUUUUAAAAUGAAAUCUUGUGAGAUGAGU